UGAGGAAUAUUGGUCAAUGGACGCAAGUCUGAACCAGCCAUGCCGCGUGAAGGAUGAAGGCGUUCUGCGUUGUAAACUUCUUUUAUUGGGGAAGAAACCUGAGUAUUCUUAUUCAGCCGACGGUACCCAAGGUAUAAGCACCGGCUAACUCCGUGCCAGCAGCCGCGGUAAUACGGAGGGUGCAAGCGUUAUCCGGAUUUACUGGGUUUAAAGGGUGUGUAGGCGGACUUUUAAGUCAGGGGUGAAAUCCCGAGGCUCAACCUCGGAACUGCCUUUGAUACUAUUGGUCUUGAAUCUUGUUGAGGUGGGCGGAACGGGUCAUGUAGCGGUGAAAUGCAUAGAUAUGACCCGGAACACCGAUUGCGAAGGCAGCCCGCUAAGCAAGCAUUGACGCUGAGGCACGAAAGCGUGGGGAUCAAA
rnacentral:rRNA from 1 species